rnacentral:rRNA from 1 species
AACAAAGGGAAGCGAGCCUGCGAGGGUAAGCGAAUCCCAAAAAUAACGUCCCAGUUCGGAUUGCAGUCUGCAACUCGAGUGCAUGAAGCUGGAAUCGCUAGUAAUCGCGGAUCAGAAUGCCGCGGUGAAUACGUUCCCGGGUCUUGUACACACCGCCCGUCACACCAUGGGAGUCGGGAAUGCCCGAAGCCGGUGGCCCGAUCGAAAGAAGGGAGCCGUCGAAGGCAGGCCGGAUGACUGGGGUGAAGUCGUAACAAGGUACC